rnacentral:rRNA from 1 species
GAUGAACGCUGGCGGCGUGCCUAAUACAUGCAAGUCGAGCGAACGGACGAGAAGCUUGCUUCUCUGAUGUUAGCGGCGGACGGGUGAGUAACACGUGGAUAACCGACCGAUAAGACUGGGAUAACUUCGGGAAACCGGAGCUAAUACCGGAUAAUAUUUUGAACCGCAUGGUUCAAAAGUGAAAGACGGUCUUGCUGUCACUUAUAGAUGGAUCCGCGCUGCAUUAGCUAGUUGGUAAGGUAACGGCUUACCAAGGCAACGAUGCAUAGCCGACCUGAGAGGGUGAUCGGCCACACUGGAACUGAGACACGGUCCAGACUCCUACGGGAGGCAGCAGUAGGGAAUCUUCCGCAAUGGGCGAAAGCCUGACGGAGCAACGCCGCGUGAGUGAUGAAGGUCUUCGGAUCGUAAAACUCUGUUAUUAGGGAAGAACAUAUGUGUAAGUAACUGUGCACAUCUUGACGUUACCUAAUCAGAAAGCCACGGCUAACUACGUG